AAGAAGACGAGAGGCAACAGGGUGGUGAGAGGAGGCAGGUGUUAGUGUGUGACCAAUAGCUGAUAUUGGCCUUUUCUGUAUCCACCCCUGAUGGAUGCAAUAACCCCUUGAUGUAUUAUGUAUGAAAGUUGAGAUUUAAAAAAAAAAAAAAAAAGAGCCAGUGCCAUAGCCAGAAUUUUUGAAAUACUGAGGUCAUGAGUCCUACAUGCAGCUUUUUUGUUAAAAAAAACCCCCAGUAGCCUUUGGUUAUAUUUACUAUUUCAUCUUUUCCAUGUAAUAAAAAGUGACAAUGUCUUUUUGUGUAAAUGUUACAAAAAAUGCAAGCACUGAAGCUUAGAAAGCGGGUCCUUGGUGAUGCUGAUCGAUAUUUUGUCAUAAUCACAACAUGUCACAAUAUUGAUCAUAUAUUCUCUGCUCCCCUGCUUUACUCCUACUCACAAGUAUACCUGAAAAAGUGAAGAUGUGAAAAAGACAACUGCAUGCAUUCUUUCAAAGACAACACAGCUAGACAUCAUACUCAUGAGAUCAAGACACAAUAGUGUAAAAUCCUUCUUAGUCUGGUUUUCUGGCUCUAAAUCCAGUUAGAGGCAGACCACUAGGACUGAUCUCUGUGCUGUAAACUGUCCUUUUCGAUGUUAAUAUGAAUGAGUCCAAGUGCCUUUUUGACACUCAUUCUCUCCUCUAAUACUGUAUAUAUGAAUUUAGGGCUAGGUUAAUAUUGGUUUGUCAUUUUGUUGCUCUCCGAUAUGAUUCAUUCUUUUCAUUGUCAUGCUCGUGUUUCAGUGGAGAGUUGAAGUGUUCCGUGAUGGUCCAAAUUCUGCUUUUCUACCCUGACUGGAAUACAAUCCUGUGUGAAAUGUUGAAUAUGUAUUUUAAUGGUCAAAUUUUGAAAUAAACCCCAAAAAUUAUCAACCUUAUUAUCAAAGAUGGGCCAGUUAAACCAAAAAAUUACCCAGAAUCAGAUGCAUUAAGCUUUUUUGUACUCCAUGGUGCACAGCAUAAAAGUGAGUUAUGAGCUCCACACAGACCUCAGAAUGGAAAAGCUGAUGUUUGAUAUGUUUUUUAGCCACCAGCUUCAUCAUAGCUGCAACAACUUUUAAUCCUGGGAAGUAGGGGUGAGCUUUUUACAGUGAGGGCAGAGCGACAGAGACGAGAUAAAAGAUUAGAACAUUGGAUGCGACUGGUAAAUGGCAUCAAUCUCUUCAAGUGCACCAUGGUGUUGCCCUUGUGUUUGGGCUGUUGCACAUGCGACAGUGUCCUGGCAUUAUUUUUCUACUGUCAAAAUGAUUUUACGUUGCGAUUAAGGCUGAACCCUAAUUUUCUUUGUGUGUCAAAUGUACCUUUCUGUCUUUAACCAAUUAACAGCCACCAUGCUGUACAUACAGAAUACACAGGCUUUAUAAAAGAAAGACUGACCUGUGAAAUCAGUGACUGUCUGGAAACAAAGUGGGAUUUCAUGAAUGUGAGGUGUAUAACAUGCAGAGGGGAAUGGCGCAGCAGACAUUCGUGCUUGUCAGGUUAUAAACUGGAGCCGGCGAGGUGUUGCGAGGUCCACAGAGACAGCGGAGAGAGAAAAGGAGGGGAGAGCCCCAGACAGCAAACCCAGUAGCAAAUGGCCCUGCUAGAGGAUGAGCGAGAGGAGGGGGGGGUGGUGGAGUUGGUGAGGAGGAGGUGAGGUGUUGGGUGAAGGGGAGGUGAGGAGGGAGAGAGAGUGAGUUAUUUAUAGCUGUGAAUGGGUAUGCUGUCCACUAGGACUGCUCUGAAGGGUAUCCAAAGGAAAAGGGGCAACGAAGACAGGGUUCUCUCAUUUGAAUAAAAGGAUGGAGAUGGAGUUGGGGGAAAUUAUAAUGCAAGGCAGAAAAUGGGAGGCGAAGGCACAAUUGUUAUGCUCUUUUAGAGGAGCGGGGGAGGGGGUUAAUGCUGAACGCCAAGUCAACAUUUUCUUCAUUUGUGAGAUAGUUUUUGUGUUUCUCUUUCCCCAGUAUCUUUGCAAAAGAGACUCUGGAAUCAGAUAUUCACUGCACAUCAACGAGAAGAAAAAAAAGUAGUUGCAGCAGGAAGCAUUGUAAAGGAAAUGGCCAGGAGUAGAUUCAAUAAGUCAAGAGGGAGGAGCUAGAGAUAGAAUUAGGGGGGAAUCAAUGUGCAUCUCGCUGUGUGUGUGUGUGUGUGUUUCUCACUUGCCAUUCCAGCUGCUCUCUCAUUCUAUUUAUAGCUCUGGAGGAGAUCGUGUGUGUGUGUGUGUGUGUGUGUGUGUGUGUGUGUGUGUGUGUGUGUGUGUGUGAAAGUGGGGGUAGGGAUGUGACAGCAUCUCCAUCCUGCACCCAUAACACACACGCACACACACCCUUCCCCACUCUGUCAGCCUCACCUUCACUCCUCAUCCCGGGGAAGCUAAACCAGUGUGACCUAGCAUCAACGUCACAGCCGACACACACACACACACACACACACACACCCACACACACACACAGAAGCGAGGGGCAUUCCCUCCCACUACAAAAGAAGAAGCCUAUAUCCCCCACUCUAUAACUGCUGCUAAUGAAUAUGGAUGAUCCCUCCUCUCUGGGUGUUUUUUUAUGAUGGUGUAUUUUACACUGUUGUAUUAAUGCACUGGAGAAAACAGCAGUGUCUAACUCGCUGCUGCAAACCCUUCCACACCUCUGAGUAAAGCAGCAGCCUGCAACUAUCAAAGCUUACCCCUUGUUUAUUGCAGUAGCUCCUAAAAACACAGAAAGAUCUGAAUACCACAUGAUAUUUUAUAUCCUAAAAACCCAUAUUAGUGCACUUUGAGUUUGAUUUCAAAUAACGUUUAGUAUUAACCGUCAUCCUUUGAUGCUUUAUACUUUCCCAUCCUGCCUGAGGAGCUUUUCCAUGGCGCUCCAAGUAUCCAGGUCACAUAUCACCUACUUUAGCAUUAUCCUUAAAACUGAGGAUCCAGGCCACCUCCACAAUACAGGCCUGCCCUAACUCUGAGCAGCAGAGAGCAGAUAGAAUAUUCAACCUGAGUUCCUCCAAAUCUUGUUUUUAAAAGCUUUUUUGCAAUAUUCAGUAUCUUUAAAUUUAGCUUAUUUGUGCCAAAAGAGUGCAAAAACUUUGUUACUGUUUCCCUCCAGAGUAUGAUCCUGGCUAGGUGGGAAGGCCUGUGAAACCGCCAUGACCGUGAGAAACUAAAACACUGUAAUCCAGGAUCUUAAUACUCAGCUCAUCAGUGAACAUCUUGCCAGUACACAGAGAUGAAUCCUGUGCGUUGUCGGUGGUUGAUGUCCCUGCAGCAGAGCGCUAGACUAUGAGGGAUUUCAUGCGGUCAUGUCACGAUUUCACACCAGACCAGCAGACAAUGUCCAGCUUACCGUAGUAGCGGCUCGCCCUCCAGGCCCUGACGGCACAGUGUAGGACUCCAUCCAGCCACAGCAGCAGCCAGCUGAUGCAGAAGCCCAGCAGCAGCCCCAGCAUCAAGUCCAUCUCCUGCUUGGUCACACUGUCACUCACAAAGUAGUUCUCUGAUGAGUCCACCAAGGAAUGGUCCCCAUCAUAUGGGAUUACAUAGUGGACAUGAUGCC